CCUACGGGGGGCUGCAGUGGGGAAUAUUGCACAAUGGGGGAAACCCUGAUGCAGCGACGCCGCGUGAGUGAAGACGUAAUUCGUUAUGUAAAGCUCUAUCAGCAGGGAAGAAAAUGACGGUACCUGAGUAAGAAGCCCCGGCUAACUACGUGGCAGCAGCCGCGGUAAUACGUAGGGGGCCAGCGUUAUCCGGCUGUACUGGGUGGAAAGGGAGCUUAGACGGCAGUGCAAGUACGGAGUGAAAGGUGGGGGCUCAACCCCCGGACUGCUCUGGAAAAUGGACGGCUGGAGUGCAGGAGAGGUAAGUGGAAUUACUGGUGUAGCGGUGAAAUGCGGAGAUAUGAGGAGGAACACCAGUGGCGAAGGCGGCUUACUGGACUGUAACUGACGUUGAGGCUCGAAAGCGUGGGGAGCAAACAGGAUUAGAUACCCUAGUAGUC
rnacentral:rRNA from 1 species